rnacentral:tRNA from 1 species
AGUCCUGUGGUGUAAUUGGAAACACGCCUCCUUUUAGAGUAGGAGAAGGGGGUUCAAAUCUCUCCUAGAGUU